UAGGGUGACCAACGGUCCUGGUUUCCCUGGGACUGAGGAGUUUUCCAGGAUACAGAACUGUCAGUUCUAAAACCAGUAGAGUC
rnacentral:miRNA from 1 species